UAAACCCUUCCAUACCAUUCCCCAUCCAUUCUACAUCAUAAAACUACCCAAAAUCUGUCCAUAACCCAAUAUGCCGCAAGCAAGGGAAAGGAGGAAUCUUGGAUGCACUUGCUACCAAGUUGGAGCAUUUUAGGUGUUUUCUUUCCUUUGAUUUUAAUGUCUAAUUUUAUGUAUCUUUUCUUUGUGAGUAUGAGGAACUAAACCCCUCUUAGUUAGGGGGUGAUUCGAAACUAUGUUCAUACUUGCAAUAUGAUUUGAUUACAUCCAGUUGUGAAUUCAAUUUACUUAUCCGUUCAUAUAAAAACUAAUU
rnacentral:lncRNA from 1 species